rnacentral:rRNA from 1 species
UGGCGGACGGGUGAGUAACGCGUGAGCAACCUGCCCUUCGGAGGGGGAUAGUGUCUGGAAACGGACAGUAAUACCGCAUAACGUAUUUUUACCGCAUGAUAGAAAUACCAAAACUGAGGUGCCGAAGGAUGGGCUCGCGUUGGAUUAGAUAGUUGGUGGGGUAACGGCCUACCAAGUCGACGAUCCAUAGCCGGACUGAGAGGUUGAACGGCCACAUUGGGACUGAGACACGGCCCAGACUCCUACGGGAGGCAGCAG